GCAGCCAUGGCGGAAUUGGCAUACGCGCUAGCUUGAGGUGCUAGUUCCAGUAAUGGAUUGAGGGUUCAAGUCCCUCUGGCUGCACCA
rnacentral:tRNA from 1 species